CGAGUGUUAGUCUACAUGGCACGGCCUCUUGACGUGAUAAUGAUCGUCGUGGGCUGGAAGUGUAGUGUCUGGCUUCUAAUCAUUGAUUGCGUGCAUACGGCCCAUAAAGCUGGAAGCGCAACAAACCACGACUUACGUGCAAGCGUAGUUCGAAAUUGACAUUUGACCUCAAAUCAGGUAGGACUACCCGCUGAACUUAA
rnacentral:misc_RNA from 1 species